UCGAGCGAAUGGAUUAAGAGCUUGCUCUUAUGAAGUUAGCGGCGGACGGGUGAGUAACACGUGGGUAACCUGCCCAUAAGACUGGGAUAACUCCGGGAAACCGGGGCUAAUACCGGAUAACAUUUUGAACCGCAUGGUUCGAAAUUGAAAGGCGGCUUCGGCUGUCACUUAUGGAUGGACCCGCGUCGCAUUAGCUAGUUGGUGAGGUAACGGCUCACCAAGGCAACGAUGCGUAGCCGACCUGAGAGGGUGAUCGGCCACACUGGGACUGAGACACGGCCCAGACUCCUACGGGAGGCAGCAGUAGGGAAUCUUCCGCAAUGGACGAAAGUCUGACGGAGCAACGCCGCGUGAGUGAUGAAGGCUUUCGGGUCGUAAAACUCUGUUGUUAGGGAAGAACAAGUGCUAGUUGAAUAAGCUGGCACCUUGACGGUACCUAACCAGAAAGCCACGGCUAACUACGUGCCAGCAGCCGCGGUAAUACGUAGGUGGCAAGCGUUAUCCGGAAUUAUUGGGCGUAAAGCGCGCGCAGGUGGUUUCUUAAGUCUGAUGUGAAAGCCCACGGCUCAACCGUGGAGGGUCAUUGGAAACUGGGAGACUUGAGUGCAGAAGAGGAAAGUGGAAUUCCAUGUGUAGCGGUGAAAUGCGUAGAGAUAUGGAGGAACACCAGUGGCGAAGGCGACUUUCUGGUCUGU
rnacentral:rRNA from 1 species